GUCAUGUGAUUUCCUGAGACCUGUCGGCAGAAGCUGCAGCUCAUCCACAGGUCUUAGAUCAGCUCUAAAACAUGAAGUAACAAGUCAACGUAUAGGGGAGGAUGACGUAUCUAAGGUAGAUGGGAGACAGAGACACAGAGAGAGAGAGAGGGAGAGAAGGAAACAGAGAGGGGCUGAUGCGAGGCUGAUACUGGGUGGGAAGUGUGUGAAUGUGUGUUUUGAAGGGAGCUUUGAGUGAAUGUGUGUACAGCGUUUAGUGACUUUGUAUGUGCGUGUGUGCAUAUGAGUGUGUGUGCGAGCAUGUGUGUGUAAGAUCAGGAAGCGGAACACAGUAGAGACCUAGAAGACCUUGAAGAAAGAUGGAGGACAAAGAAUGCAACAGUGGUGGCUUCAUGAGGCUCAUAUCAGAGGAGAGCUGUAGCUCCACAGUGACAGACGAGUUGUGUGUUAAUAACUACCAGACUGAGAUCUUCAACCAGCUCCCCAGCUCUUUGGCCCGACGACGGUCCCUCCAUCACUACCAGGACAGGGGGACCACAGAGACAUCGCACCCAGUAGAGAAGUACCCUGGACUGGUAGGAGAAGCCAGAGACAAGGCCACUACCCAGCCGAUCAGGAGCCUGCCGGUCUGUAUGCAGAGGAAGAGAGAGGCAAGGGACCUGAGGCACCUGCAGACGCGCACUGUUGGCCGAUGGGAGUCAUGGAAGCGGAACCAGAGCAUAAACAGGAAGAGGCUCGGGGAGCAGGUGGACGAGGCAAUGGCAAGGCUUUUGCCAUGGAGCAGCACCCUCCACACCAUUGAAGGUAGAUUCGGUGUAGGCGUGAAAGCUUAUUUUGUCUUCCUGAGAUAUUUGCUUUACCUGAACCUGCUCCUGUGUCUGGUCAUUGGAGGGACUAUACUCAUACCCACAGCAGUCUACGACAGCGAUGGUGACAGAGGACUACUGAGGUUUGAGGGCAAUGACUCGGUUUUGGACUUCUUCGUUGGUUCGGGUUUUCUAGAACGUUCUCCGGUGUUCUAUGGGUUCUAUGCACGUAGUUCUCUAGACCUGCUGUGUCUGAACACGCCCCUCCUCUUCCUCCUCGGAACCCUCACCGUCCUCAUCCUCAGUCUGGUCAUGGUGGUCCGCAGGACGGUUGUAGGCUACAAGCACACGUGGUUGCUAGGCAACCGCUACAACAUCCACAUGAGCUACAAGGUGUUCUGUGGGUGGGACUUCUGUAUCCAGGACCCCGAGGUCGCCGACCUCAAACUCAGCUUCAUCAGGAACGAACUGAAGUUAUACUUAGAAGAGGAGAGGUUCCAGCAGCGUGAGGCCAGGAGGACGUUGGGUCAGUGGGCACACCUCUACUCCCUGCGAGGGCUGCUCCACUUGCUGGUCCUGGUUCUACUGGGCGGAGCCUUCUGCCUCAUCUACUAUGCCACCAUGGCCUCAAAGGCUGAGAGGAGUGGAGACUAUUUGAUCCUCCGGUUGCUUCUCCAUUACCUUCCUCCCAUCGUCAUCACCCUGGUCAACUUCUUCCUGCCUCACGUCUUCCGCCAUAUCUCUUCCUUCGAGGAUUACUCCCUCACCACCCAGGUCAAUGCUACCCUCGUCAGGAGUAUCUUCCUGAAGUUGGCCAGUCUGGGGAUGUAUCUCUUCUUCCUCUUCAAAAACAGCCAACAGGAAUGUUGGGAGAAUCAGUUUGGUAAAGAGAUGUACAAGCUCUCAGUGUUCGACUUCCUCGCCUGUUUCUGCAACACCUUCUUCAUCGUCUAUCCUAGAAAGUGGUUUGUGGACAGGUACCCAUCGUCUUGGCUGGCGCGGUUGUCGGGGAAACAGCAUUUCCUGAUCCCGUUCAAUGUUCUAGACCUGGUGUACAGUCAGACGGUCACCUGGGUAGGACUGUUCUACUGUCCCAUGCUGCCAUUUAUAGAGACAGUCAAACUCAUGGCCGUGUUUUACAUUAAGAAGUUGACAGUUCUCCAGUGCUGUGUUCCGGCCCAGAGAAUGUUCCGUGCCUCCAGUUCUUCAGUUCUGUUCCACUUUAUGUUACUACUGGGUCUCAUCAUGGCAGUCAUCACCCUCGGAAGUAACCUCCACCAGUUCGAACCUUCCUCCAGCUGUGGUCCGUUCGUGGGCAGCGCUACAGUGUUUAAUGUAACAGCUGUGUGUGUGGACAGUCUACCAGGACCGGCGCAGUCCACUCUGAGAUACCUGUCCUCAGAGGCCUUUGUCCUGCCGCUGAUACUGGCGCAGAUUGUUGUCCUGACCUCCUUUGAGUCGCGGAGGAGAGCCAAUGGAAAAGCCAUCGAGAGACUGAAGGACAUGCUGGUGAUGAGCACCUCAGAUAAGCAUUUUCUGCUGAAGCAGCACACUCUCUCACUCAGACGCCAGAAGAAAACCUUCAAGGCGCCCCCCACUGUUUCAGGCACUAGAGAGGGCAGCCCUACCACCAUGAAAGACCCCUCAGCAGGCAUCGGAGAGGACAGCCAUAUCGCUCAACUGAAGGACCCCUCUGCACAGCCUACAGGCAAUGACAGCCCAUCAUAAAGAUAGAUAGAGGACUCUAGUGCCCAAAAGCCAGUUUCAGCAUGUGCAGCGACAUUCGGGACUUUCACCAUUCCAAAGUAGUCAACUGAGUAGAACUACCUAUGGUUUAAGGAUCACAUGAUUCCAUCCAGGUCAUCAGGAGGCUUCAACCAAUGAAUUAUACUCGUGAGUAAACAUUCCAUAACUGCAGGUAGCUGUAAAUGGUCAACCUUGGCUUUACACCUGUUCAAACAACACACUCCAGGUGGCAGGAUGCAGCCUUACAGUUUGUUUACCCACUCAUAGAAGUAGUAGAAGAAGAAAAUGAACUAGUUCGAAAUGAAGAUUUCCUCAAUGGCUCUUCCCAUGCUCCCACAGACGCCCUAUUGGGACAGAUGCAAUGUUGUGUUCUCUAACUAUCUCUAUGCAGCCCAUAGAGUUAGAAAUAGAGCCCACCACCUAUCAUUGUGCCAAAUGCACCCUCUAUCCAACUCUAUGGAGCAGACAGACAAAUGGCACCCUCUAUCCAACUCUAUGGAGCAGACAGCCAAAUGGCACCCUCUAUCCAACUCUAUGGAGCAAACAGCCAAAUGGCACCCUAUUCCAUAUUUAGCGCACAAAAGUAGUAGCAGAUGUGACCUUUGAGCUUUUUGUCACUCCCUAGCGUUCAGGGUUUAUUGCUCUGGGCUGUACCUAAAUGUCAUAUACAGUAUUAAGAACAACAAGUAGUCACUCCCUAACAUUAAGGGUUUAUUGCUCUGGGCUGUACCUAAAUGUCAUAUACAGUAUUAAGAACAACAAGUAGUCACUCCCUAACAUUAAGGGUUUAUUGCUCUGGGCUGUACCUAAAUGUCAUAUACAGUAUUAAGAACAACAAGAGUGUCAGUUACAUAACUUGUGUUACUGUACUGAUGUGUUUAGUGGCUAUGAUGCAGUUGUAAAAGCUUCAUUCUCAGAACCCUGGUUCCUUGUGUCCUCCAUUCAUAACUUAACCUUGUUUAGGUUAGUAGUCACAGUGUGAUGUCUAGAUGGACAGUAUAGUUGUAGUAGUCAUAGUGUUGUCUAGAUGGACAGUAUAGUUGUAGUAGGUUAGUAGUCAUAGUGUUGUCUAGAUGGACAGUAUAGUUGUAGUAG